UGAGCAAUCUGCCCUUCUCUUCGGAAUAAGCGUUGGAAACGACGUCUAAUGCCGAAUACGACCUCCUUUCGCAUGAUCGGAGGUGGAAAGCUCCGGCGGAGAAGGAUGAGCUCGCGGCCUAUCAGCUAGUUGGUGUGGGUAAUGGCCCACCAAGGCGACGACGGGUAGCCGGCCUGAGAGGGUGACCGGCCACACUGGGACUGAGACACGGCCCAGACCUCCGUACGGGAGGNAGCG
rnacentral:rRNA from 1 species